AUGGGAUUCUUCCAUGGAUUAAUGCUUGAGGCAAAGAAACAUAUUGCUGUGAGGUUUGAUAAUGAUGAGAGCAAGUACAAAGUUGCUUGGGACAUCAUUGAUAAAAGGUGGGACAACAAGCUCAAGACUCCUCUCCACUUGGCUGGCUACUGUUUCAAUCCUCACUAUUAUUACCCAAACAAGUCAGAGAUUGAGCAUGAUGGAUCAUUUAGAGUUGUUGUUAUUACAUGCAUUUGCAAGAUGAUUGAGGACGAAGAAACCCAAGACAUUGUAAUUGAAGAACUCAACAUGUAUCAAGAUCAGCAAGGAUCUUUCGGCCAUGAGAUUGCUAUAAGGCAAAGGAGAAACAAGAAUUUUAAUCCAUCAAAAUGGUGGCUGAACCAUGGCACCAGCACACCAAAGUUGAGAACUUUGGCAUCUAGGAUUCUUAAUUUGACAUGCAGCUCAUCAUCUUGUGAGAGGAACUAG
rnacentral:rRNA from 1 species